GGUCAUAAUAUCUGGAAUGAUUUAUGGUUUAAAUCUAUAUGGCCUCUGGAUUGGACUGCGGCCGAUCAGGCUGUUGGUGAGGUAAUGGCCCACCAAACCUAAAACCGGUACGGGCUCUGAGAGGAGAAGCCCGGAGAUGGGCACUGAGACAAGGGCCCAGGCCCUAUGGGGCGCAGCAGGCGCGAAGACUCUGCAAUAAGCGAAAGCUUGACAGGGUUAUUCUGAGUGAUUUCCGCUAAGGAAAUCUUUUGGCACCUCUAAAAAUAGUGCAGAAUAAGGGGUGGGCAAGCCUGGUGUCAGCCGCCGCGGUAAUACCAGCACCCCGAGUGGUCGGGACGAUUAUUGGGCCUAAAGCAUCCGUAGCCGGUUCUACAAGUCUUCCGUUAAAUCCACCUGCUUAACAGAUGGGCUGCGGAGGAUACUAUGGAGCUAGGAGGCGGGAGAGGCAAGCGGUACUUAGUGGGUAGGGGUAAAAUCCGUUGAUCCAUUGAAGACCACCAGUGGCGAAGGCGGCUUGCCAGAACGCACUCGACGGUGAGGGAUGAAAGCUGGGGGAGCAAACCGGAUUAGAUACCCGGGUAGUCCCAGCUGUAAACGAUGCAGACUCGGUGAUGAAUAGGCUUCGUGCCUAUUCAGUGCC
rnacentral:rRNA from 1 species